rnacentral:lncRNA from 1 species
UCCAUGCAUGGUGAUGCCCACCUCUUAAUAGAUUCAAGGCCACAGUACACCUACUCCACUUCAAGGUACACUUCUUCCAAAGUCAAGCUGCAUUGUGCGAAGCUAGAAACCUGGAGCAUUUCCUGCAACCCUGUCUUAAACUUGUUCAUGCUGUGCAUGUGGAAUGUGUGCAGUCGAUGGAGAGAGAGUCUCAGUCCUGCUUUCUCUGAGUAAUUAUCUUUGACUAAUGUUGCUCUUUUGCCGGAGACUUUCCACAGUUCCAUCUAUGUCUACUUGAUCUCCAUGUCCCACUCGGUUAAAGCUUGUCUUGUGCCUUCUGUGACAGGCAUCAUCGAGGAAGAGAAGGUUUCUAGCUGUUGUUUUGUGAUCAAAGCUGCAUAUUAUUAUGUUGAUUAUGUAUGUGAGAAUAUCUCCAAGAAAUUUUCAUCUGCUGUUUGGCUUAUCAUGGAUCUUUACAAGAUAAGAGAGAGAAAAAAAAAUAGAAGCUUUCAUCUGAGAGAAGUUGAGCAGAUCUAGAUUUAACUUAAAAUGUGUCAAAAGUAAUACAAAAAAUCUCUUUUGUAGUUAGUCCUCAGCAGCUACCCCUCCAAAAAAAGAAAAAGGAAAAGAAAAAAAAGGGGGAAAACGUGGAGGAAAAAUCUAAUGAUGCUUAGACUUGUGAUCUCCAGGCCCAUAGUAAUCUUCAUGAAUUCUAGGUAUCCUUUGAUCGGCUCCUCCUACAUUAUCUGUAUCAGAGCAAUGCCCAUUUUCUCUGCACGGAAUCAGUGCAGCACCGGUUCCUCUUCUUGUCAUGGAAACCUUCUUUUCCUAUCAUCAAACACAAGUAAAACCUUUAGAACAUGGAAUAACAGUAGCAAGGAGAGUCAUCAUAGAGUGAUAUCACUACACUUACAGGGAGUUUGUGGUUAGAGCCUCUGUGGUUUUGCCUCUCCGAGUGGAUCCCUAAGUAAAGAAGAUGGUUAGUUCUGGUGGAUAAGAACACAUUCACCUCAGAUGAAACUCAAACUCAGCGUUAGCUUUACCGUGAGCUGUGGAUAGCAGCAGUAGUAGCAAGAGGACGAAGGCCACUGUGGAAGAAGACCUCAUCCUGAGAAGUCUAUCUAAGAGCUAGCUUCAGAAACAAGAGGGAAGACAGAAGAGACUUGAAGAAGUGAUGUUGGAACUCUGUGGAGGCAUUGAUAGGAGCUGUGAGGAGGAGGGAUGGUGGUGUCC